UUUUCCGUUUGUAAUAUUUUGAUUUCUUCUUUUGAUUUUUUCUUUUUUCACAAAAUAUUAAUGAAAUCUAUGUAAAUACUUAAUAUCGUUAGUUAUUAAUAAAUUAUAGAACAAUUAUAUACGGUAUGCAGUUAAUAACAAUGACUUUUUAAUUGGGGUGUAAAAAUUACGCUAGGUGAUUAUUUACCAAAAAAAAACUAGGUGACUCUUCACAAGAUUAUACGACAUUUAAAACGUCUGAUUACACUAAUACUAAUGAGAAUAUUCAUGUAUAGUUAGAAUCAUUAGAAUCAUGAUAAUGGCUCUAUUCCCGUUUCACAUCGCAAUUAAUAAGAUUGAAACGAUUGAAGCUUCCGUGUCCGAGUGUUAAAGGUUAUUCUCUUGCACGACCGCUAACAAUGAUCCUCCAAGCAAGUCUCAAACGAGUUAUCUAACGGCAAUAAAGGCACGUAUCGUACAGCCAAUGGGCGGUGCUCGUUGCCGCCGAUAGUGGCAACUUCCUAUCGGCUUUUCAAGCGAUUGCUGCCGCUUGCAUCCGCAGAUCGGUUCUACAGAUAAGAAAACAGCCGAAGGCGCGAGGUGAUAUUGUCGAUUCUCGCGUGAUAUCUACGCGCAUGAUAUCUACGCGUUUUCUCGUAUGUCAUUCGAUCGAUGUGACCCGCUUUUUUUGUUCUUCACUUUCGAGUGAAAUCACUUGUUUUUCCUUCCUUCCUUUUUCCUUCCUUCCUUCCUCUUUUCUUCCUUCCAAUUCUUUUUUUUUCCCCCUAUGUGUGUAAAAUAUUGUUUGCUACAUCUUUUCAUUUAGGGGAAUAAUUCAGCGUUAGCAAUGUAAGGAAAACAAGUAAAGAGGCUCUGACGAGUUUCACGGAUCGCGGCUUUGAUGACGAAAUAAACCUGUUAAGCGUAAAAUAAUUUUCAUUUAGCUUCACCGUCGCGUAGCCGCGAUGGUAUACGUCUAACGCGGCGGAAUGGUGCAUCAUUAGUGCAUUGCGUUUAGUAUGUUUCUUGUCAAACAUUAAAAUUAGUCCGUGAAAUGUGCGCACGGUUUAACACAAACGUUGCGUUGAAACAAUUUAUAGUAAGCACACGUAGCAUAAUAUUGAAGCUCAUUUCAAGUUCAAAAUUUAUUUAAUCAAAUUGAUACAAAAUUCUUCUGAUAUGAUAAAAUAUAUUUUUGCAUACAAAGAUAUAUUAUUUGGUAUUUUAAAAAGCAUAUAAAAUAUGGAAGAACUUACAAAUUCAUUAAAUGAAUUGAUUAGAGGUUUAAGAAAAUUGAAAAACUUAUUAGUUAUCUCGUCGCAGCUUUUGAAAAAAAAAAAAAAAAAAAAAGAUUAGUCGGACAUUGCCGAACAUGUGCGAGGCUCGAAGUAUUAUUUUCGAGAUCAAGCCGCGACAGCCAAUCAGAUUCGAUCUACAUAUUCGUGUUUGACAUCUCGCUUUGAUCGUCGCUUAUCUGCGUGCAAAUUUUUUUUCGACGUCGAAAAGUUUCGACGUCGAAAACAGUCGAAACUUUCCAUGUUUCGACGAUGUCACGGCUAAUCUCUUCUCGGAAAUCGCAAGUUGGCCCUUUGUUUUCUUCGAUCUUCGGUGAGUUUUUCAUUCGGGUCAACGAGGACACUUCUUGGAAAUUCUCGUUCGGCACACCGUGUUUUGUUUUCGAGCGUCGACGGUUGGCGUCGCGCCGAGUCGCCAGGACUUUUUUUCGUUUCUUCGAAAUGACGAUCUCAAAGUGGCCAAUCACCUACUUGCCUCACUCGUCAUUUUUGCCCCCACCCAUCGUUUCCAACGCUUCGGCGACUCAGUUUCGUCGCGAAGUCGUGAGUGUAGGGUCGUGUCGGGAUUAUGCUCCGCGAUCGCGCGUCCUUUCGUUUCGUCGUGAACCUCGAACUGGUCGAACGUACAAACGAGUGUCGGGAGUAUCGAAUUCAAGCGACGGGCGAUCGCUUCGGUCUGUUUGUUACUUCGUGUCGUGUCGUCGUGUGUUGAGAAAUAACUACGAGAAACCGCGCACGUGAAGUGCACUUGGUAUCUCGAGGGUAUCGCGUUUCAACGAGCAGCUCGUGGCUUGUCCGAAAGAGUUUUGUGCUUCUUGUUUUAUCGAUAUAGAAAUUGAUCGAUAUAUCGAGAGUGAUGCUCGAGCCUCGCUCGCGUUUAUGUCGCCGCUGGUUUCUUUUCGACAGGUUUAUUCGCACCAAGGUGGCCGGCGAAUCGUUUCCUCCGUCUCCGCUCUUCAAUUUUUUUACAUCAGUUAAGUACCUCGAUCCCGAUCGCGGAGACAGGUGUGUGAAAUACGCGGAAAGUAUUCGAUAUCGUGAAGUGCGUCGCGUUCAACACACUUCACUCUGCAGUCGUCGCCCGUCGCUUGUCCGCAGGUGGUGUCGCACCAUCCGCGUUCUUCGAGACAAAAGUUGGUCGAAAUCUCGGAAACGGUGGUCAAGUCUCGCAUUUACAUUGGUCGUACGAAGGUGAUUUUCACAAGCCGUUUCACUUUUUUCUUAUAUUUCCCGAAUUUUUGCCGAGUAUCUCAGUCCCGUCGGGAGACUAUCGGGCAGGCCGAAUAUCGUAAAUGAUAAUAAUGACCAUGAUUUGGCGUUGGUUAAUUGGUUAGACCCCGCGCAAGGCACGGAAAAAAAUAGAACAAUGUCGUGUGUGAAGAGUGCGCGGAGUAAUCAAUGUCGUGAAGUGCGUCGCGUUCGGCAUUCGCGUCGCGGUUCAGUUCACAGCGUCCGUCGCUUGUGCUUUGAAUGUGAUUUCUCGUUUCUCGUUAUAAAUAUUCGAGAUCUCGGAAGCGAUGCUCAAACCCGGUCUGUACUUUAUCGCAGUCAGUUUCUUUUUUCGCGAAAAAUGGCAUUGUGGCCAUUUCCUUUCACGUUAUGUCAAAAAUUUCGCAAUUAAGUAUUUUAGUUCCGUCGCAAAAGUACGCGGAGUAAUCAAUGUCGUGAAGUGCGCCGCGUUCGGCAUUCGCGUCGCGGCUCAGUUCACAGCGUCCGUCGCUUGUACUCUGAUGGUGAUUUCUCGUUUCUCGUUAUAAAUAUUCGAGAUCUCGGAAGCGAUGCUCGAACCCGGCCUGUACUUUAUCGCAGCCAGUUUCUCUUCUCGCGAAAAUGACAUUGUGGUCAUUUCCUUUCCCGUUAUUUCCAAAAUUUCGCAAUUAUGUACUUUAGUUCCGUCGUAAGAAUGCGCGAGAUUCAAAUACCCGUCGGAACUUUGCGAUCUCGUUUCUUCGAUCCUUUAUUUUACGUCUUCAACGUGACUGUCGCGUACGAAUAAACAUCGAAUCGAAUAAUUAAGCGAUCGCCCCGCGUUUUUUCAGUCCGCGCAAUCGUCUUGUAAAAUUCGUAAUUUCGCGUCGCGAUGAUCUAACUUGAACAUCCCUCGAUCGUUUGUAUGCAGCGAUUUAUGCCACGCGAGUGUCAGUGAUAAUACGAGUAUAACCAAGGGCACCUGCUGCGGCAGAAGGGAGGAAAGGGACACCCGGAAGCAGACAGGAAUUGGCGACGUACCGAAGACGGUUCUUACAAUUCCUGAACCCGAAUGCAACGUGAUGGUGAGGAAAAAA
rnacentral:lncRNA from 1 species